CCUUUCCCGUGUCAUAAAGGAACAUGCCUUCAGGGGGCCAUGUGCUUCUCUACUCUCAGCCCCUCGUGACUCAAUGACCUGAGACCAGGCCGCUGAGCUGCUCAGUGUCGUCCCACCUGUCUACCAGCAGCCCCUCCUUCUUCUUACCAGUGCAUCCCUGAAUGAUGAAAAGAUCUCCAGCGUUUUGUUUUUCACAAGCAUAGUUAAACACUAUGAAGAUUCUUUAUGAAUUCAGAGGCUCCACAAUGGCAUGUCAAGAAGCUGUUCAACCCGCCUUCACCACCUAGUUCAGGUGACAGCGAUGAGGAGGGCAACACAGGUGGCAGCUGCCCCUUUGGUCUGGAAGUUCCUGGGCAGCUAGUUCAGAGGCAUUUGCACCAGCUGGGUUCAGGUCCUCCCUGGCUCCGGCCACUCACAGGGCCCUGCAGAUGCAGAGGAAGCUGGAAAGAAACUGCGGCUGGUGACGCCUGCUGGUGGCAACGGAUCUAUCUAGAAACACCUGGCUGUCAGUCCUGGAAUGACCAUAGGAGACAGGGCCGGGGAUCUGUGCAGCUUCACAGAGGCAGUCAGGCCUGCAGCAAAGAUGGAGCCAGGAGCCAGGCCUGCAGACUGUGUGGAGAAACUCUUGCAAGCUUGGAGAUGGAGACUGCCCCACUGGCCAGAUGGAGGACUUCUAAGGGGUAA
rnacentral:lncRNA from 1 species